UACCGUGAGGGAAAGGCGAAAAGAACCCCGGCGAGGGGAGUGAAAAAGAACCUGAAACCGUGUACGUACAAGCAGUGGGAGCCUCUUAAUGGGGUGACUGCGUACCUUUUGUAUAAUGGGUCAGCGACUUAUAUUCUGUAGCAAGGUUAACCGAAUAGGGGAGCCGAAGGGAAACCGAGUCUUAACUGGGCGUUAAGUUGCAGGGUAUAGACCCGAAACCCGGUGAUCUAGCCAUGGGCAGGUUGAAGGUUGGGUAACACUAACUGGAGGACCGAACCGACUAAUGUUGAAAAAUUAGCGGAUGACUUGUGGCUGGGGGUGAAAGGCCAAUCAAACCGGGAGAUAGCUGGUUCUCCCCGAAAGCUAUUUAGGUAGCGCCUCGUGAAUUCAUCUCCGGGGGUAGAGCACUGUUUCGGCAAGGGGGUCAUCCCGACUUACCAACCCGAUGCAAACUGCGAAUACCGGAGAAUGUUAUCACGGGAGACACACGGCGGGUGCUAACGUCCGUCGUGAAGAGGGAAACAACCCAGACCGCCAGCUAAGGUCCCAAAGUCAUGGUUAAGUGGGAAACGAUGUGGGAAGGCCCAGACAGCCAGGAUGUUGGCUUAGAAGCAGCCAUCAUUUAAAGAAAGCGUAAUAGCUCACUG
rnacentral:rRNA from 1 species